UACGGAGGGGGCUAGCGUUGUCCGGAAUUAUUGGGCGUAAAGGGUGCGUAGGUGGCGCUGUAAGUCGGGUGUGAAAUUUCGGAGCUUAACUCCGAAACUGCAUUCGAUACUGCGGUGCUUGAGGACUGGAGAGGAGACUGGAAUUCAUGGUGUAGCAGUGAAAUGCGUAGAGAUCAUGAGGAAGACCAGUGGCGGAGGCGGGUCUCUGGACAGUUCCUGACACUGAGGCACGAAGGCCAGGGGAGCAAACGGG
rnacentral:rRNA from 1 species